AUGUAUUUGGCGAGUGCCACGAGACCUGACAUCUCUUUUGCUGUGAGCAAGCUGAGUCGGUUUGUGUCAAAACCGGGAGAUGAUCAUUGGCAUGCGCUUGAGAGAGUUAUGCGCUAUUUGAAAGGCACCGCUAGCUAUGGGAUUCACUACACCGGGUAUCCAAGGGUACUGGAGGGUUAUAGUGACUCAAACUGGAUAUCUGAUGCUGAUGAGAUUAAGGCCACAAGUGGUUAUGUUUUUACACUUGGUGGUGGCGCUGUUUCCUGGAAGUCUUGCAAGCAGACCAUCUUAACGAGGUCAACUAUGGAAGCAGAACUCACAGCAUUAGACACUGCCACUGUUGAAGCAGAGUGGCUUCGUGAACUCUUGAUGGACUUACCUAUGGUUGAAAAACCAAUACCCCCUAUCCUGAUGAACUGUGAUAAUCAAACUGUGAUCGUCAAGAUAAACAGUUCUAAGGACAAUAUGAAGUCCUCAAGGCAUGUGAAGAGGAGACUAAAAUCUGUCAGAAAAUUGAGGAACUCCGGAGUUAUUACGUUGAAUUAUAUC
rnacentral:rRNA from 1 species